rnacentral:lncRNA from 1 species
UGAAAAAAAAGUGCAUACCUGUUCAAUGCGAUCUCUUCUUCUUUUCAGUGUUUUUGCCGACUCUUCCUCGCGUCUAAAUGCCUGGACUGCAAGGCCAAGAGCUGAAAACAUGGCCAGCAAAAAGGGAACCCUUAGAGAUCUUGGUGAAAACAGGACAGGAAGGAAGCAAAGAAAUCCGGUAUAUAUGACAUGCACCGAUUUCUGUGAGAUAGCUGAAAGUAAACUUCAAAAAUCAUGGCGAAAUAGCCUGGCAAUUUUAAGUCCAUACCCAGGUUUGGCCGAAUGGAGUCCUCGGUAAUUGGCUGACCACAUUUACCACAAGCUUUCUGCAUAGCAGGACAAAAACAAUUCUCUGUUACUUUCACAUGCACUUGAAGCUUCAUAAAAUCCUUCUGUUAGUAGGGUUGCAAUAUCACGUUGACCACCUUCCAGGAUUGUCUCAAAUUAAUGUUCUACCUAGAAAAUCAAAGCUUGCCUAAUGUGGUUACCCAUGCUGACAGAGCAAAUGGAUAACUAUGAAAUACCUCUAGUUUCUGUUUGGACAACACAAUCUAUAAAUGGAAAAAAUAAAUGCAGUUGGAGAACUUUAUUUAUGAUAACUAAGAAAUACCUCUAGUUUUAUUAUAUUGAGUGCACAUCUUAUAUCUUUUCACCUAAAAGUAGUUGGGGAAUGCGGAGGCCCUGACAGUAGAGUGCACUCCAUUUAUUCUAGAACAGUAGGACAUGUGUAAUCGAUGCUUUACCUUGAAAGCAAAGUAUGCCUAAUGUGGUUACCCAAGCUGAGAGCAAAUGGAUAACCACGAAACACUUCUAGUUUCACUUAGGACAACACAAUACAUAAAUGGAAAUGAGAGUUUCAUUCUAUUGAAUGCACAUCCGCAUAUUGUUUUCACCAAAAAAUUGUUGGUGGAUGAGGAGGCCCCUACAGUAGAGUGCAGUCCUAUUAUUUCAAGAACAGUAACACAUGUGUAAAAGGAAAACACUGUGCUUCAAAAGCACAUCAAGUCAAUUAGUAUUUCAAAAAGAAGGAGCUAUGAUUAAAGGCAAUCCUAACAUUAAAACGAAGAGAUGUAGCAACAAGCAGGAGGAUACAGGAUAUCUAACUGCAAACUACACUGUAACAAACUAAGGAAAAAGUUUGGAAAACUAUUACACAGCAAGGGUCGUUGGACAAACCAUUCUGUAGAUAUGCUGCAUCCCACUACUUCCAUAAGAAUGCCCACAUGACAAAAUCAUUGCGUCGUCCAUGAGAAUACCUCUACAAAUUCAGACACAGGAAUAUAAAUGGAUGAGAUACUAGAUUCUUUCCCCCCAGAUAUCAUGUUCAUUAUUACCGCUACCAGACAUGAUAUUUGGUGUUCGACAAAUUCAGUGACAUUUUGCAUUUAUAUGAACUGGUGGGAAAAUACCAAAAGCCUACAAAGCGGAUAGAGCCGUAAAGGAAUGGUUGAAAGUAUGUUCAAUAUCAAUAUUGGAAGUUUGCAUACAGUCAACAAAGAAGGUGAAACAGCUAACUAAACACCUAGCAUCAAGCAAAAACUAAAUUCUCAAGAGGAUAGCAGUCAUCUGCGGAGUCUACUCACGUCAACGGGUCGGACAGGUGUGCUCUGAGCAGGUCCCAGUAGCUAGACGCAGGGCCUCCCUCUCUUCUCCCAAUGACCCCAUACCCAUCCUCCACCCUCAUCUCCCUGGGAACAGAGCCAGGCUCUUCAUCCCCUCGAGACGAAGCGCAGCCGUGUUGCUCGGUUCCGUGGUUGUACAGCUGCCAUUGCUGCCCCUCUUGUAUCUGCCUCACCCCAUUCUCCCCAUUCGUGACAGGCCGCCCAAUUCCUGCUGCGUGAGCCAGCAAGCAAGCAACAGUGUCAGUGAUCACCUUCAUUCAGAUAAAUCAGAUGAUACACACGCAAAAAUCCUAAAUGGAGAUAUUUCGCUGCUUGGAGGGAGAUCAUGUUCAUAUGGAGAUAUAUCUUAGCUUCAGAUUUCUCACAAAUUCAGCUCAUCUCGUACUACCAGAAGCUGCAUAGUAGUAGUACUAGCAAUUUACAGGAGCAAGUUGGGUUGACUCACCUGGAGAGGAGUCGCGUCGCUGCAGCGAGCUGCGGGCCGCCAGCUCGGCAUCCUGAUCCUCCUCCUCAUCGUCGUCGUCGUCGUCGUCGUCUUCGUCGAACUCGUCCAUGGAGGCGCCGCCGUCGGAGUCGCCGCCGGGAGGGUGGUGGUGCCGGAGGAAAGGGACGGCGUCGCGGGCCGCGCCGGGGAAGGGCGAGAGCGGCCCCCUCGACGAGGAGGAGAGCGCGCGGUUGGCAGACCCCGGGCCCGGAGGAGACGCCAUGGCGGCCGCGGAGCGCUCGGCGGGGUGGGGAGGGGUGCGGCCGUGCGGGGGAAGGUUUGCUGACCGGGACUGCAGUGCGCUGUGUGCUGGUAGAGUGGUAGCAUCACCUCACCUGUGCUAGUUUCGUUUUCAAAAAUGCUGAAAUAAUUUCACACAGAAUUUGUAAAAGACACUAGUGAUUUGAAAUAACUUGAGUUUGGACAUCUUUGUAUUGUAUAAGGUUCAAAAAUGCUUCAAUUUUUUUUGAGAGUUUUUAACUAAAUUUUGAGAGUUAGUGUCAAAAACGCUCUUAUACUAUGGUACGGAGGGAGUAUUUCUUAGUCCACUGGGAUUGACAAUUCAUGGGCAUUUAUUCGUUUAUAUCCAACAAAUAUCAACUACUGCAAAAAUUACAGAUUCUGAGUAACUUUCUGUUCAGGGAAGAAAUUGUGAGUAACUUGGUCAACCUACAAAUUGGUAUAUUUUUUGUCAAGUUUGAAAAUCCCAACAAUGUAAUCAUUAAAAUGUUAGCUCAAGAGUCAGUGAUCAGUAACCAUCUCCGAGAUCCAUUGAUCAAUCCCUAUCAAGUCUGUUUGGAUCACAGGAUUGGCAAAGGGCAAAACUGAAAACAAGAGGGGAUUGGAUUGAGCUCAAUGGCAGCAUACAAAAGUUUAUGGUAGAGCAGCCGCCAGCUAUACAUCACAUAGCUUGCACAAGUUGCAUUUCAUCCUUUUUCGUCCGUAUCAUCAAAACACAAAACAAGCAAACUAAACCCUAGGCUAAACAAGAUCCCUCUUCUUGUAUCAUCAUCCCCACCACUGUAUCAUCAUUAACCUAGGCUAACACCUUUACAGCACCAAGGAAAAACGUCUCAGGGGCAUGAUCGGCGGGCGC